CCUACACCUACUCUUAUCACUUGUAAUCCAAAAAAGCUCCAUUUCUUUCUUAUACGCUAAUUCACUAUUAAAUAGAAAUGUAUAUGCAAAACAGCGAGAAAUUUGUAGAUACGUUGAAUGUUGUUGCUUUCACAUUUGCAACUCUUAGUAGUUGUUCAAAACAACAAUGUCGAGCAAAGAUGUUUGCGAUGUUUGAAUGAUUCUUGGAUUGUAUUUGGAUUCCAUCGGUACUAUGGCCUGUUGAUUCGGCACCUUUGUCAUUUUAGCAACUUUUGUUUUCUUUUCUGUGUCGAUGUAGUUCUCUAUACCAUAUUCAUGUUCAUAUUCAUGUUCAUAUUCAUGUUCAUAUCAAUGUCCAUAUCAAUGUCCAUAUCAAUUUCCCAUGUUCCAUUACAUAUCCCGUGUUCUUUCCUUCUUCCAGCUUUUACAUGCUAGCCUUUUAUACAAUGAUUCCUCUCAUCUCGACUCGCUUGAUGAAUGGGCGUUUAGUUUUUGCAACAACAUAUGCGUUGGGUUAUCUCAUAUCGGGAAACACUUUCUGCCACUUUUAACUUGAACAAAGUUGGAGAAAUAAAGUGAUGGCAGAUAUUGCAAGUUGUUUAUAGUGUGCCUGUAGAAAUGUAAAAACGCUAUGUUUCGUGAAUGCCCAGCCUGUAAAUCGAAAUAAGAUUUCGUAUUUAUUAAGCAUUGGAAGAUCACAAUUGGNAAAAAACACGAUACGGNUGGUCUCUUCACAGUCGUUCUCCAGUAAUCACAAACAUGAAAACCUAAAUAUACGGNAACUUUUGCACCUAUU
rnacentral:sRNA from 1 species